rnacentral:rRNA from 1 species
GACGAACGCUGGCGGCGUGCUUAACACAUGCAAGUCGAACGGAAAGGCCCUGAUUUUGUGGGGUGCACGAGUGGCGAACGGGUGAGUAACACGUGUGUAACCUGCCCCUGACUUUGGGAUAACUCUAGGAAACUGGGGCUAAUACCGGAUAGAAGCUCCUGCUGCGUGGUGGGGGUAGGAAAGUUUCGGCGGUUGGGGAUGGAAUCGAGGCUUAUCAGCUUGUUGGUGGGGUAGUGGCUUAAAAAGGCUUUGAAGGGUAGCCGGCCUGAGAGGGUGACCGGCUACAUUGGGCUUGGGAUACGGGCCAGAGGCAUACGUGAGGAAGCAGCGGGGAAUUGUGCGCAAAGGGCCGAGGCCUGAUGGAGCAUCUCCGCGUGGGGGAUGUCGGCUUUCGGGUAGUAACCUGCUUUCGCCUGUGUCGAAGCGUGUGGGAGGGUAAUGAGUAGAGAAGCACCGGCUAACUACGU